UGGUUGAUCCUGCCAGUAGUCAUAUGCUUGUCUCAAAGAUUAAGCCAUGCAUGUCUAAGUAUAAGCAAUUAUACAGUGAAACUGCGAAUGGCUCAUUAAAUCAGUUAUUGUUUAUUUGAUAGUUGUUACUACAUGGAUAACCGUGGUAAUUCUGUGGCUAAUACAUGACUAAAACCCCGACUGUUAUUGGAGGGGUGUAUUUAUUAGAUAAAAAAUCAAUGCCUUCGGGCCGUUUGAUGAAUCAUAAUAACUUCUCGAAGCCCAUGGCCUUGUGCCGGGGCUGGUUCAUUCAAAUUUCUGCCCUAUCAAGUUGUAUGUAGGAUAGAGGCCUACGUAGCUAGUUACGGGUGACGGGGAAUUCGGGUUCGGUUCCGGAGAAGGAGCCUUAAAAACGGCUACUACAUCCAAGGAAGGCAGCAGGCGCGUAAAUUACCCAAUCCUGACACAGGGAGGUAGUGACAAUAUAUAACGAUACAGGGCCCUUAAGGGUCUUGUAAUUGGAAUGAGUACAAUGUAAAUACCUUAACGAGGAACAAUUGGAGGGCAAGUCUGGUGCCAGCAGCCGCGGUAAUUCCAGCUCCAAUAGCGUAUAUUAAAGUUGUUGCAGUUAAAAAGCUCGUAGUUGAACCUUGGGCCUGGCAGGCGUGUCCGCCAUCUGGCGAGUACUAGUCGGCCGGGCCUUUCCUUCUGGCUAGUCGCAAGACGAACCGGGAUUUUUACUUUGAAAAAAUUAGAGUGUUCAAAGCAGGCCUUUGCUCGAAUANAUUAGCAUGGAAUAAUAGAAUAGGACGUUAUGGUUCUAUUUUGUUGGUUUCUAGGACCAUCGUAAUGNUUAAUAGGGACGGUCGGGGGCAUCAGUAUUCAGUUGUCAGAGGUGAAAUUCUUGGAUUUACUGAAGACUAACUACUGCGAAAGCAUUUGCCAAGGACGUUUUCAUUAAUCAAGAACGAAAGUUAGGGGAUCGAAGAUGAUCAGAUACCGUCGUAGUCUUAACCAUAAACUAUGCCGACUCGGGAUCGGGCGGACGUUCUUUUCUAUAGACCCGCUCGGCACCGUGUGAGAAAUCAAAGUUUUUAGGUUCUGGGGGGAGUAUGGUCGCAAGGCUGAAACUUAAAGGAAUUGACGGAAGGGCACCACCAGGAGUGGAGCCUGCGGCUUAAUUUGACUCAACACGGGGAAACUCACCAGGUCCAGACACAAUAAGGAUUGACAGAUUGAGAGCUCUUUCUUGAUUUUGUGGGUGGUGGUGCAUGGCCGUUCUUAGUUGGUGGAAUGAUUUGUCUGCUUAAUUGCGAUAACGAACGAGACCUUAACCUGCUAAAUAGUAGAGCCAGCGUUUUUGCUGGAAGUCUACUUCUUAGAGGGACCAUCGGUGUCAAGCCGAAGGAAGUUUGAGGCAAUAACAGGUCUGUGAUGCCCUUAGACGUUCUGGGCCGCACGCGCGCUACACUGACGGAGCCAGCGAGUAUUUAACCUAAGCCGAGAGGCCCGGGUAACCUUGGGAAACUCCGUCGUGCUGGGGAUAGAGCAUUGGAAUUAUUGCUCUUCAACGAGGAAUUCCUAGUAAGCGCGAGUCAUCAGCUCGCGUUGAUUACGUCCCUGCCCUUUGUACACACCGCCCGUCGCUAGUACCGAUUGAAUGGCUUAGUGAGGCCUCAGGAUUGGACUUGGGAGGGGGGCAACCUCCACCCGGGACCGAGAAUUUGGACAAACUUGGUCAUUUAGAGGAACUAAAAGUCGUAACAAGGUUUCCGUAGGUGAACCUGCGGAAGGAUCAUUA
rnacentral:rRNA from 1 species